UAGGCACUGGCCCAACUGAUUGAUGGUGCUUGCACCUGAUUGACGAUGGAUCACCAGUGAGUGGCGGACGGGUGAGUAACACGUAGGUAACCUGCCCCGGAGCGGGGGAUAACAUUUGGAAACAGAUGCUAAUACCGCAUAACAACAAAAGCCACAUGGCUUUUGUUUGAAAGAUGGCUUUGGCUAUCACUCUGGGAUGGACCUGCGGUGCAUUAGCUAGUUGGUAAGGUAACGGCUUACCAAGGCGAUGAUGCAUAGCCGAGUUGAGAGACUGAUCGGCCACAAUGGAACUGAGACACGGUCCAUACUCCUACGGGAGGCAGCAGUAGGGAAUCUUCCACAAUGGGCGCAAGCCUGAUGGAGCAACACCGCGUGAGUGAAGAAGGGUUUCGGCUCGUAAAGCUCUGUUGUUGGAGAAGAACGUGCGUGAGAGUAACUGUUCACGCAGUGACGGUAUCCAACCAGAAAGUCACGGCUAACUACGUGCCAGCAGCCGCGGUAAUACGUAGGUGGCAAGCGUUAUCCGGAUUUAUUGGGCGUAAAGCGAGCGCAGGCGGUUGCUUAGGUCUGAUGUGAAAGCCUUCGGCUUAACCGAAGAAGUGCAUCGGAAACCGGGCGACUUGAGUGCAGAAGAGGACAGUGGAACUCCAUGUGUAGCGGUGGAAUGCGUAGAUAUAUGGAAGAACACCAGUGGCGAAGGCGGCUGUCUGGUC
rnacentral:rRNA from 2 species